CCUACGGGAGGCAGCAGUGGGGAAUAUUGCACAAUGGGCGCAAGCCUGAUGCAGCCAUGCCGCGUGUGUGAAGAAGGCCUUCGGGUUGUAAAGCACUUUCAGCGGGGAGGAAGGCGUUAAGGUUAAUAACCUUGGCGAUUGACGUUACCCGCAGAAGAAGCACCGGCUAACUCCGUGCCAGCAGCCGCGGUAAUACGGAGGGUGCAAGCGUUAAUCGGAAUUACUGGGCGUAAAGCGCACGCAGGCGGUCUGUCGAGUCGGAUGUGAAAUCCCCGGGCUCAACCUGGGAACUGCAUUCGAAACUGGCAGGCUAGAGUCUUGUAGAGGGGGGUAGAAUUCCAGGUGUAGCGGUGAAAUGCGUAGAGAUCUGGAGGAAUACCGGUGGCGAAGGCGGCCCCCUGGACAAAGACUGACGCUCAGGUGCGAAAGCGUGGGGAGCAAACAGGAUUAGAUACCCGGGUAGUC
rnacentral:rRNA from 1 species